GAUGAAGAACGUAGCGAAAUGCGAUAAGUAAUGUGAAUUGCAGACACCGUGAAUCAUCGAAUCUUUGAACGCACAUUGCGCCCUUUGGUAUUCCGAAGGGCAUGCCUGUUCGAGCGUCAUUACACUAUUCUUCGGAGUAUUGACAGUGGCUUACGCCUUGUCUAAAACCCUUGGUGGUAACUAUCAAUCACGCAUAGUAAUCUCUGCGAAGGUGGAUAGGUAAACACUGAAAACUUCUUGUUUGACCUCGGAUCAGGUAGGGAUACCCGCUGAACUUAAGCAUAUCAAUAAGCGGAGGA
rnacentral:misc_RNA from 1 species